GACCUAGCAGCUCUUUCCCCUCUCCAAAACAGACGAAAAAACCUCCCCCAUUUUUCCCAACCCUAGCCGUCACCCCAUCCCCACUCCCAUAGAAACGGGACCCCCUCCCUUUUACAACCCACAGUAUUGUUGCACUUUAGUGGCAAUAGCAAGUAAAAUAAAGAUCACUCUUCUACUCUUUAGUGUUUCCGGCAGUAUCUUCUGCCGUUACGCCGCCGUCAACUACCACAGAACUUCCACUCAAAAACUCAGUCAUUUUUUUAUAAAUCGUUUUGAACCUUAAUUUUUGUAAAAGUUUAGUUCUGUACUUGCUUUUGAAUUUGUCAUUUCCCAUGAGGUCAAUCUCCUGAUUUUGAUUUGGUCAAGAUCUGCUUCAAAUUUUGGGAUCCACAGCUUUUUUUGCUGAUCUAUGGCUGCUUCACUUCGUAUAUCAGUCCAAUUUUAAUCUCCCUUGAUGCUGUGGAUGUUGCUUCGUUGAUUCUGCUUGUUGCUGUUUGGCUCAUCGUAAGGGUUGCUGUUUUUUUUUCGGUGUUUGCUUCUUUGUACGCAACAAAAAGGUAUCUUUCAUAUGUGAGUAUGCUGAAACUAGUUUCUGAAACGUUAUGUGUGCGAGGAGGCCAGGCAAUUAGGCCUGUUCUAUGUGCGCAAAUUAGUGGCUUUCAUACUGCAAAGCCUUGUUUAGCACCUAGAAGCUUUUUUGGUGUAGAAGAUUUCCUUGACGAUGACAAUAGCCGACCAUACACUUACCAGAAGGGAAAAAAGUCCAAGAACCCAAACAAGCAUGUUUCUUUCAAGCAACGGACUGUAGCUUACAUGGAACCAUUCACCCUUGAUGUUUUCAUAUCAAAGCGCUUUGUUUCAGCCUCUAUCACCCAUAGAGUUACAUGCAAACAGGUUGCAGUAGCUGGUACAAACUCUAAAGACAUCAAGGCAGUGCUCAAAUCACGAAGUGAUAUUCCUGCAUGCUUGUCUGUAGGACAGAUUUUGGCUGACAGGGCAAGAGAGGCUGAUGUAUACACUGCUUCUUAUACUCCUAGAGAUAGGGACAAGUUCGAAGGAAAAAUUAGAGCAGUUGUUCAGUCCCUCAUUGAUAAUGGUAUCGACAUCAAAGUUUAUCUCGACUGAAAAAGGUACUAUGUAUACCCAUUGUAUCCACUAAUAUUCAACCGCCUCAAAGUUAAGAAUCCAUAUUCCAGUCUACUUAAUAUUUCUUCCGGUGUUUUAUUUUCAUAGACGCCCCUCAUUGUGGUGAAGACUUGCUCACUAACUUUUAUUUGAUUGAUUCAAUCAACUUACGCCAUCUUUACUAAAGAAGACUAAGUAUUCAAAGUGUUAACUUGGAUACGAUAAAUGUAUGCACUAAUAUAAAGUUGAGAGCCUAUAAAGGCUUUGAAUGCUCCAAUGUUGCUGGUUGUACCCGGAUAGCAUUCUCAUUGUACAUUUUAAUCUUUUAUUCCCCGGUCAUCAUCAGAAGCUCCAGGCAAACGAGCUAGGGAGCAACAUCAGAGGCUUACGAGUGCAUUGCCAUGCCAAUGCUAGGUUCAUGACAAUUGAACUUGAUUUUGAAGGAUGAAGUGUCGUAUUGGACUGAACACGCUGUUCAAGUGUCAGUUUGAAAGAAGUCAUCUAACUUUGAAGGAUCAGCAGGGAGACCCUAGGUGAGCGCCAAAACUUGCAUAUGGAGCAUACUCGGUUCAGCUUCGAGGGUAAGCGAAUGUAAACCAAAAACAAGGAGGAAAUAUUGUGAGUAUAAAUGACAAGACACAAGAGUAAGGAUGUGUGGAUUGGAAAUAUUUUGAGUAUAAAUGACAAGCCACGAGAGAAAGGAUGUGUGGAUUGUAAUGAGUAGUGCUCUACUAGUGAAAUCGGUCCAUUGACACCUUUGAUUGUUUCAACUAAGGCCGAGCACUCUUCUCAAAUCUUUGAUUGCACUCUCGCUAUAAAUAGUUGAAACCUCUGUGGAAAAGUUAAUAUAAUGUCGAUUAGCUGUAUUUCAUCUAGUGUUCGGUCUUCAUACAAAACAUGAUGUCUUCUGUCUUUUAUAGAAUUUAUGUUGUAGUCAAUUGUUUA